rfam:Acyrthosiphon pisum strain LSR1 Contig13939, whole genome shotgun sequence.
AAAAAGGCUUUUAUCAAAGCCAACAGCAACAUAAUGACAGGUUAG